rnacentral:lncRNA from 1 species
GAAACCUCCCCAGAAUCAUUCAACUCUUCCAGCUCCUCCCACCCUUCCUCCUGAUCCAACCACCCCCUCCAGUUGGACUACAACUCCCAUCAGCCCCUGGGGGGAUGUUAAACAUUCUACUCCAUCUCUACAAUCUGGAGGCAACUUCAGAAGGGAGAGGAGAAACAUUUCUUCUUUUCCGCCAUCAGAUUUUUGUUGGUGGCAGCGACAUUAUCUCAUCCCAAGAGUAGUGGGCAGAAUUUGCACCACCACAAAGAGAGGUAGGCUAUGCCAGUAAUGUCAGGUAAUAGCUGAACUAUAUUUUGUUUUCUCAUUGCCAUGUCAGGUAGCAUCUGAGAUCUUACCCCACUUCAAGAUGUCACCUACAUCUCCUAUAUAGAUGUGGUUAAUUCACAGAGGUGCCAAUAUUUGGUUCUGAUAAUGAGUCCAUUGUGUAACUGUCAAUAGAAAAUUUGCUUUCAAUAGCAUAAGUGUUCAUAUGUAGCGGGAGGCUGUAGCUACAUUUUGAUUCAUUGGUUAAUUAUUUUUUGUUACAAUUAUUUUUCUCAUUUGUUUUAUCCUUCCUUGAAGCAGUCUUGUAGGAAAGGGGGAGGGGUGUCAACAGCUCAGUGGGAAAAGAUGUGAAUGCUCUAGCUCAUCAGUCUCAUUCCCAAGAGUUUCAAGUAAUUUAUUUUAAAAUGGAUGAUUAUGUUUUGGAAACACUUCUUUUUUCAUUUGCUUACAAAUCAAAAUGCUGACAUUUUGCAAUUAUGAAUUAUCCCUAAAUUGCCUUGCAUUUCAAGGAUAGUGCUUGAAGCAACAUCUACAAACUAAAGUGGCUUAGCGUUUACUUUUUCUUUGUUUUUUAGUUUGCUACUUUGCUGUGUAUUAAUGGCUGAAAAUGGGUAUCAGCAUCCUGGCCUUGCCUAUGACAAGUAGGAAGUUUCAGUGACAGUGAGAAGAUUGGAUAUGUGAUAUAUACAAUACAUAAAUAUUUGCAGACCCAUUGAGGAUAAAAUGGAUGUUGUUCACCUAUUGGGGAGGCUACUGUUGUGGAUUUCAUGCACUAAUAUAUGUUGACUAAUAUAUGCAUUUUUAUGCACACUUUAUCCUGGUAAGUGCAUUUGUGCACAUUACUUGGCUGGAGAACUGCAUUGCAAAAUUCAGAGAAGUGCAAACUUCAUAGGGCGGCUGAGUUUUGGUUCUUGUAUUGUUUCAGAAACUGUAAAUUAGGUAACCGAAUCAAACUUCUCUUCUAUCCCUACUCCCAGUAAAAAUUGCAGCCUGAAGCACUCAAAUGUCAGCCUUUGGGCCAGUUCAAGUUUCCAAGGUGUCUUCAAAGGCAGCCCCAUGUGGAAUACAUUGCGGUAAUCCAAUCUGAGCUUGGAGCACCGUGCCCUAGUCAUCUCUGCCCAACAGGGGCUGCAGCUGGCGAACCAACUGGAGCUGAAAAUUGGCACUCCUAGACCCUGAGGCCACUUGGGCCUCAAGUGUCAAUGUUGAAUCUAGGUGUACCCCCAGGCUACAAACUUGCUCCUUCUAGGGAAGUGCAAUCCUGCCCAAAACAGUCUGUCUUCAUACCUCCUGAACUCAGGAACUUGGAACUCUAAACAUCUCUGUCUUUUCAAGAUUCACUUUGUUUGUUGGCCCACACCCAGUCCAUCAAUGCAUUCAAACUUCUGUCUAGCACCUUAGCUGCAUCUCCAGAUUCAGAUGGAGCAGAUCUGUGGCAUAGAUUCUCGCCAAGCUUCGCUUACUGUGAUUUUGAAUAGUCCUUCAACAUUCUGGAAAGAUUUGACUGGCUUGAUGUGUGUGCAGGCAAAAUAGCCAUAUUGGGAGUAAGCUCCCCACGAGGCAUUUUUGGCCCAAGCCAUUUACUUGAAAAUGUCAGUUGGCCAAAUUUUAACCUACUCUACAGUAAUAUGGAAGGGGAGAUAUUUUCUACCCUGGUAAUGAAAGGCUGGAUUUUGUGUAACAUUCUCGCUUCUUUGGAGACAUGGGAUAUUGUGCCAUUCAGAGCCAAGAGAAUUGCCCAGGGUUGCAGUCUGUAAAACCAUUUUCUGUUUAAAUGUGCAGCUAUAUGUAAUGGAACCAUAACCCAUCAUUAGAGAAUGCUGAAAGCAAUGUACCAGCCCUAAUACCCCCAGAACUGAGGAAACAGGCCCCUCGGAGCAAAAGUCCCGCCGUGUCCUCUAAAAUUGCUAGUAAUAUAAGUCGGUUCAUGCAUUCCUUCAAUCUAAUAAGAACAUUACGGCUGCAGUCCUGUCUUAUGCUUAUUCAGCUGGGAGUGAGCCCAAUUGAACUCAACAGUACUUAUUUCUGAGUAGACAUGCAUAGGAUUGUGCUAGAAAGGCAGGAAGAAAAGGAGGUAGAUAUUCUUUGACAUUUUGGAGGCAGUUGGAUUCUUGCUUCAGAAGCAGAUGCUAUAGAAGAUGAAUGUAUCAUUUAUACUACUGCAAGGUGAUUUACUUCAUCAUGCAUAUGUAAAACAACACUUUGGGGUCCAGUUAUAAUAGCUGGAGCAAAACAACCGUUUUUGCCCAAUGGAAACUAUAUAUGUAAGGAGCUUUUAGAACUAUUUUUAAAAAACUCCAUUGGGAGUAGAUAGCUUUCCAGCCCAUUAGCAUUUAAUUCAGGUAGUGUAAUAUUUUACUUGGAGGUGAAAACGCCAUGUGUGUGAUUUUGCUAUGUAAACAAAUGCACCAAAAAUUGGCUGACUGCAAUUCUGAUGCCUUUCAGGUGACCUGAAAUUUUCACUAGUUUCUAAACAGUUUGCAAAUACCUUUAUUUGUAACAUAGAGUCUUUUGAUGAAGUACCAUUACCACUUUUUCCACCCAGCUAUUUUCCAAGGGAUAUUGCCAAGUAGUCCAUUCAUUUUCCUGGUGAUGUUUCAGUUUGAAUGCUGAAGCUUGCAAGAGUCUUUUUAAGUAAGAGCACUUUAUUGAAAUUAUACUACAUUUUGCAUUAUACCGAAUUUACACAAUAUCAGAGGUGGUUUGACAAUCACAGCUUACUGCGUAUAAUCCACAUCCCAAAUAUUAUGUUUUCCUGCUUGAUGAUUACUUUUUUUAAAAUCACGAGGUUGGCUUUUAAAAAACACACUCAGAGCUAUCUGAAUUACCUGUGAAGCCAUCUGUGCAUGCAAUCCUAUCACCAAUGGCAGAAUUCCCAUUGGUUUUAUCGGAGCAGGUAGCCUUAAAUAAUCUUAGUGUGUUGUAUACAUAGUAUUACUGUGACUUGGGGAAAACUAAAUUAUGAAUUUCUUUGUACCCAUGAGCCUCUGUUGACUGACUCCUUCCUGGUGUUUCACCAUACAGCUAUGCACAAAUGUCUUUGAUAAAUGUCCCCCACCCUAUUUGUGAUCAGAGAAACUGAGAUGGCUAUUUCUAUGAAGCAUUGUGGUGAUCACACAGGGCCCCCGGACGUUUCACGGUCUAUUGACCCUGUGCCACCACUGUGGUUGCUUUCUUCACUGCCACCACCCCGCUUCUCACGGGGACACACGGUGUCCAGACAGUUGUUAACAUAAACAAAUAAUCAAGUUUAUUUUUAAGUGCAGGAAUAAGCGUAUGGUUUCGGUUUAUUUUUCUCUUGUCAGUUUCUUAAAUCUUAGUUCCUAACAACUUCAAACUGAAUUCUAACUAUCUAUCUAACUCCCUAAUAAUUCCUCUCACUCUCUCACAAUACAACUCAACCAACCCACUGCCUAUUCCACCCUCUUCCUUCUCCAACACCCAAGCCUCAACUCCCAACUGACAAACCUCAACUCCCAACUGACAAACCUCAACUGACUUCAGAACCUCCCACUCUAUCUUUUACUCCCCCCUUGCAUUCUCACUGGCCAAUCACAUCACACCCAUUUUAACCCUUUCCUUGACCCAUCCUAGGAGGCAAACGCCACAUUCAUUGCCAAAAAAGAGGGAACGAGAAACUCAUUUGCAGGUGCUGUAUGGGCAGGUGCCGUGUAGGACAGUUUCUUCCACUUGCAUUUGUCACAGUGAGUCUCUUGAACACAGAGAAGGAGAAGGAGAGGACAGUGUCUGAGUGCAAUUUUAGUUUUGAGUGCAACUCCCAGUUAGCAAGCAUAAUCAUUAUCCUUCUGUUUGGUGUGAUGGGGUGGCGGCACUCACCUGACCUGUGGUUGGUUGCAUUGCUGCUGCUUACUGGGAGAUAUAGGGGGGGUUGGUGUGGUGUAAACACACCAGCGGGAGCACCAGAUUGGCUCUGUCAGUGUGUUUGUACUGCACCAACCUCACUGCUGCUUCCUGCUCUGUCUCCCAGAAAACAGCAGCAAUGAAACCCACCAGAGAUCAAAUGAGUGCCACUUGUUAAGUAUAGUCAUUUAAUCCACUGAAAUUGCAAAUGCUGGUAUGCAUUACUAUGCAUUUAAAUCUGAGUAGUUGAUAACUGAAUUCUAGAGCGUUCUCUAGUAGUUCUCAUGUGAUUGGCUCACGGUCACAUGGGAGGUAUCUAGUGAAGAAGAGGCUCCAUUUUAUGUGAAGCAAGAUGGCUGUAUUUUAGAAUCCACUGUGAACACUGCUAAGUUGAAUAGAGUGUUGGAGUGCUUCUUCUCUGCUUGAAAGAAAAAGAGCCAAGCUGCAGGAGAAGGUGAAAGUGGAAAUUUCUUAUAGAAGCUGCAAGGCAUGGCCUAACUGAGAUACAGAAGGCUGAAUGCUGAGCUCUGGAAAGAGAGGAUGAUACAGUUGUUUGGAAGUUAGAAGAAGAGACUGUAGGGCCAUGAGAAGCAUGUGAUUGUAAAUAAUUAAAUUCAUCUAUAACUAUAAGUUUCUGCAAGCAAAGUUUUU